AGAUUGAACGCUGGCGGCAUGCCUAACACAUGCAAGUCGAACGGGAGUAGCAAUACUCUAGUGGCGGACGGGUGAGGAAUACGUAGGAAUUUGCCCUUAAGUGGGGGAUAACCCGGGGAAACCCGGAUUAAUACCGCAUGACCUCGAAAGAGCAAAGUGGGGGAUCGCAAGACCUCACGCUUUUGGAGAAGCCUACGUCGGAUUAGCUAGUUGGUGAGGUAAUGGCUCACCAAGGCGACGAUCCGUAACUGGUCUGAGAGGAUGAUCAGUCACACCGGAACUGAGACACGGUCCGGACUCCGUACGGGAGGCAGCAGG
rnacentral:rRNA from 1 species